GGAGGAGGAAAUAAAUAAAUAAAACAAUCACCUCCGCGCCAAUAAGAGCGAGGGAGAGAGCAAGACGCGACCAGAGAGCCACCGGGGCCCGCUCGCGCGCCUCUGAGAGGCUGUCCGCGCGCGCGCGUGUGUGCGUGAGUGUGGAUUUGCCGGGACUGGAGCUGGAAAGUUCAAACUAAACGUGUUGCUCUCGCCGAGUGCCGAGGCCGCGGCGGAGGCUGCCCAACUUCCCCGGGCCAAGUGAGUGGCGUUGCCCAGCGCCUUUGGCGAGGCGGCGGCCGCUCGGCCCUGCGCCCGGCCGCGGCGGCGGCGGCUCCGCUCGCCCCGGGAGGGAGCCCGCGGCCAGGGCUACAGAUUACAUAGAACUGGACAUAUUUAUUUGAUAGUAAGAUGCAUACAAUUUUUAUUUUUCAGACUUGAAUGAAGUGAUCAUGUAAACUAGAGAAAGGAGAUUAAAAAUAACCUCUGGUCAAAUACGUAUGAAAUUUUCACCAGAGGUUAUUUUUCUUUUUAAUUUUUUUUUUUUUUUUUUAGUAAAAAUCCAACUUGAGAACUGUCACCAAAGAUGUCUAGGAACUUUGAAGAAACAUGAAGGUUUGUCCUCAUUCUGUCCUAAGUUGAAAUGAGAUUUAGAAAAGAGUCUAAGUGAACAUUUCCCAACCCAAUUCCUGUAGCACUCGAUGAAAUACACAGCUAUCCUAUUUCUCUCUAUUGAAAUUACAUAUACCCUAAAACAGUUUGAGAAUUUAUCACGCACCAGGCUUACCAAGUACUUUAUAGAAACCAUAUAUGCUCUUUUAUUCCUUACAAGAGCCCCAUGAGAAAGAUUCUGUUAUAUCAUUCU
rnacentral:lncRNA from 1 species